rnacentral:rRNA from 1 species
GAAAAAUAACGAUACGGGACUCAUCCGAGGCCCCGUAAUCGGAAUGAGUACACUUUAAAUCCUUUAACGAGUAUCCAUUGGAGGGCAAGUCUGGUGCCAGCAGCCGCGGUAAUUCCAGCUCCAAUAGCGUAUAUUAAAGUUGUUGCGGUUAAAAAGCUCGUAGUUGGACUUGUGUCCCACGCUGUCGGUUCACCGCCCGUCGGUGUUUAACUGACAUGUAUUGUGGGACGUCCUGCCGGUGGUGGCGAGUCGAAGGUGCACUCCUCCCGUGGUUCGCCCCGGGUCGGCGUGCGUCCGGAGACGGACCCCGAUGAAAUCCUACCGUGGUGCUCUUCACCGAGUGUCGAGGUGGGCCGGCACGUUUACUUUGAACAAAUUAGAGUGCUUAAAGCAGGCCUGAUGCGCCUGAAUACUGAGUGCAUGGAAUAAUGGAAUAGGACCUCGGUUCUAUUUUGUUGGUUUUCGGAACCCGAGGUAAUGAUUAAUAGGGACAGUCGGGGGCAUUCGUAUUGCGACGUUAGAGGUGAAAUUCUUGGAUCGUCGCAAGACGGACCGAAGCGAAAGCAUUUGCCAAGUAUGUUUUCAUUAAUCAAGAACGAAAGUUAGAGGUUCGAAGGCGAUCAGAUACCGCCCUAGUUCUAACCAUAAACGAUGCCAGCUAGCGAUCCGCCGAAGUUCCUCCGAUGACUCGGCGGGCAGCUCCCGGGAAACCAAAGCUUUUGGGUUCCGGGGGAAGUAUGGUUGCAAAGCUGAAACUUAAAGGAAUUGACGGAAGGGCACCACCAGGAGUGGAGCCUGCGGCUUAAUUUGACUCAACACGGGAAACCUCACCAGGCCCGGACACUGGAAGGAUUGACAGAUUGAGAGCUCUUUCUUGAUUCAGUGGGUGGUGGUGCAUGGCCGUUCUUAGUUGGUGGAGCGAUUUGUCUGGUUAAUUCCGAUAACGAACGAGACUCUAGCCUGCUAAAUAGUCGCAUCCGGUAU